rnacentral:lncRNA from 1 species
GGGAGUUCUAGGCAGUAGCCUCCCACUGGUGGUCAGAACUGUUUCAGCGGAACGAUACAUUUAUAAUGAAGAGUUCUUCGCAUUAUAUUAUAUCCCUGGGAUAGCCGCCACAUCAUCAGCCAGCUGUCCUUUCCUGGUUGUACGUUUCACGGUUUCCCAAGUUCUAGUUUUACCAGUAGGAUCCCUGUACGUCGUUCUUUUCAAGAUGGCCCAUUUUCCUUCUGAAAUUAAGCCCCCUUAAAUAAUAGACCAUUUGGUAUUUUGAGAAAAAUCUGUUGGUUCUUGGUUUUAAUUUUCAAACUAGGUAGUCUCUACAGUCCUCAGGCAAGAAGUUCACAUCCCAGAUGUGGGGUGAAGGGAAGGUGCUCCUUUGGGGAGGGGCCGGAAGAAGAAAGAACAAGACCACGGCAGCAGUCUCAGGAGAUGCCAGUGCUGCACAGCCCUGCUGAACUAUGUUAGACUUUUCCAGAAUUGUAAGGAAAGUCAAGUCUCUCGGCAGUGAAUCUGUUUUGUGUACCGAAAACAGUAUGGUCUAGUGGAGAGCGCCCUGGAUUUGAGGCCACAAAACCAAUGUCUUCUCGAGAUGUAGUUUACAGGCAGAAAUGGAAACACUGAUGACAGCUUGUCAGAGAUUACACACCUGGGAUGUGAUGGAGCAAGAAUUAAGCUCAGCAGUCUGCCUCCUGCACCGCGCUCCUAACAAUUGUUCUCUAUCAUGCACUCCCUUUCAUGUAUUCAGUAUUCUCAAAGAAAACGUUGUUAUAAAACAGCAUACUUAUGACUUUUAUUAUUACAAACGAGUAAAUUUGUGUCUUCUCGGUCUUACAUGAAAAUAAACAUUUUGGCUUAAAC